rnacentral:lncRNA from 10 species
CAGGCACACACACUGGAAAAAGCAGGCGACAACCGGAAGGAGCUCCCAAGGGCCAGAGCUGGAACAAUUUGAGCAAAGUAACAGCUCACAGAACAAAGUCAGCAUCCCUGAGUCCAAACGGAUACAGCCAAGCAGCUGAAUGAGGAGAUGCACAGAGGAGAGGCCAGCGCCUCCCAGCAGAACAAAUGUAAAAGGAAAAGGGAACUUCAGCCCCUCAGAAAUCAGUGCUGAAGGCCAGAUUCACUGCUGAACCUCAAAUCCCAGCACACAGGUCUGCGGAGGGACAAGAGACUUGCCAAGUCCUGAAGUAUUUACUAAUUACCAAGAGAAAAAUAAUAACGUUCCCAGGAAGAGACGGGGCAGACAUUGCCUUAACCCAGUGAUCAGGUAUCAGCAUGGCUUUUGUUGUAUUCCAGCUAAAACGGAGUCACCAACCCAAUCAUGGGAAACACCAGAUAAACCCAGACAGAGGGGCGUGCUUCCGAGUGACUGACAGAAGGCUUCAAGGCACCCAGGCCGAGAGAGACGAGGAGAGCCUGAAGAACUGUCCUAGACAGGGGGGAAACCAGGAGCCAGGACACCUAAUCACAACAUGGGACCUGAGAUUCAACACAGGAACAUGCAAAAGGGCGUUCCUGGAAAAAAAGGUGCAAUCUGAAUUGGUCUGUAGCAGAGUUAAUAGUAUUACAUCAUCAUUCAGCGCCUGGUUUUGAUGGUUAUAAGGGAUGCUUUCUUCUGAUCCAUGGUCACUGAUGAGUCAGAUGCAUGAGCUGUGCCCCGAUCUGCCUGCCUAUCUAGGACCCACCCUCUUCACUGGGCUUGGAGCUUCUCGGGAGAGCACUGAUGAGAACCAGACCAGCCAGCGUUCAAAUCCCUGCUCUUUCACUUAGUAGGGGCGUGACUGACAAAAUGACAUGUUUCUCUCCCUGAACCCCAGUUUCCACAUCUAUAAAAUGUGGGUAUAAAUACCUAACUCACAGGGUAUUUGUGAGGAUUAGAUAAAAAUAACAUGUGUUGAACGUGUAACACAAAGUACCUGCUUGCUAACACUAACAUGACCUACAUCUACACACACUUCCUGUGUGGUCACACACAUCCACAGGGCGUGUGUUUAAUCCUGUGUGUGGGUGUGUGUUUAAUCUCUGUACCCCCCAGACCCAGCACAGCGCAUGGCCUGUACUACAAACCACACAAGGCUGAAGAGGGGGGUGGCCUUUCCCAGAAGAUGAACGUGUUUAUGACGGAUGGCAGGACACACAUUGCAAGUGUGUACAACUUACAGCAAGACAAUAUGCUGUAAAUAAGAAGGAAGCUCAAAGAUGCUGAUGAUUAAUUCUCCUUUUCCAGGGGAAGGUUUGAUUCAGCUAGAAACAUAGAUUUACUCAUUGUCCCACAAAAUAAAUCCCGAUAAACAAUUAUAUCAC